UACGUAGGGUGCGAGCGUUAAUAGGAUUUACUGGGCGUAAAGCGUGCGCAGGCGGCCCGUUAAGACAGGUGUGAAAUCCCUGGGCUCAACCUAGGAAUUGCGCUUGUGACUGGCGGGCUCGAGUACGGUAGAGGGGGGUGGAAUUCCUGGUGUAGCAGUGAAAUGCGUAGAGAUCAGGAGGAACACCGAUGGCGAAGGCAGCCCCCUGGGCCUGUACUGACGCUCAUGCACGAAAGCGUGGGGAGCAAACAGU
rnacentral:rRNA from 1 species